rnacentral:rRNA from 1 species
UUCCGGUUGAUCCUGCCGGAAGUCACUGCUAUUGGGGUUCGGCUAAGCCAUGCAAGCGGAGGGUGCGGUCGAAAGAUCGUGACCCCGCACACGGCUCAGUAACACGUAGUCAACCUACCCUUGGGACGGGGACAACCUCGGGAAACUGAGGCUAAUACCCGAUAGGCGAGGGACGCUGGGAUGCCUCCUCGCACAAAGCUCUGGCGCACAAGGAUGGGACUGUGGCCUAUCAGGCUGUUGGUGGUGUAACGGACCACCAAACCUACGACGGGUACGGGCGAUGGGAGUCGGAGCCCGGAGAUGGGGACUGAGACAAGGCCCCAGGCCCUACGGGGCGCAGCAGGCGCGAAAACUCCGCAAUGCGCGCAAGCGUGACGGGGGGACCCCAAGUGCCGUUGGUCUUUCGAUCGACGGUUUUUAGGAAGUCUAAGAAGCUUCCGGAAUAAGGGCUGGGCAAGACUGGUGCCAGCCGCCGCGGUAACACCAGCAGCCCGAGUGGUGGCCACGAUUAUUGGGCCUAAAGCGCUCGUAGCCGGAUCAUCAAGUCCCUUGUGAAAUCGGGCCGCCCAACGGUUCGGCGUGCAAGGGAUACUGUUGGUCUUGAGGCCGGGAGAGGUCGGAGGUACUCCUGGGGUAGCGGUGAAAUGCUCUAAUCCUAGGGGGACCACCAGUGGCGAAGGCGUCCGACCAGAACGGACCUGACGGUGAGGGGCGAAGGCUAGGGGAGCGAACGGGAUUAGAUACCCCGGUAGUCCUAGCUGUAAAGCAUGCGGGCUAGGUGUCUAGCGCUCCUCGAGGGCGCUAGGUGCCGGAGGGAAGCCGUUAAGCCCGCCGCCUGGGAAGUACGGCCGCAAGGCUGAAACUUAAAGAAAUUGGCGGGGG